rnacentral:rRNA from 1 species
GAACUGAAGAGUUUGAUCAUGGCUCAGAUUGAACGCUGGCGGCAGGCCUAACACAUGCAAGUCGAGCGGAUGAGAGGAGCUUGCUCCUGGAUUCAGCGGCGGACGGGUGAGUAAUGCCUAGGAAUCUGCCUGGUAGUGGGGGACAACGUUUCGAAAGGAACGCUAAUACCGCAUACGUCCUACGGGAGAAAGCAGGGGACCUUCGGGCCUUGCGCUAUCAGAUGAGCCUAGGUCGGAUUAGCUAGUUGGUGAGGUAAUGGCUCACCAAGGCGACGAUCCGUAACUGGUCUGAGAGGAUGAUCAGUCACACUGGAACUGAGACACGGUCCAGACUCCUACGGGAGGCAGCAGUGGGGAAUAUUGGACAAUGGGCGAAAGCCUGAUCCAGCCAUGCCGCGUGUGUGAAGAAGGUCUUCGGAUUGUAAAGCACUUUAAGUUGGGAGGAAGGGUUGUAGAUUAUACUCUUCAAUUUUGACGUUACCGACAGAAUAAGCACCGGCUAACUCUGUGCCAGCAGCCGCGGUAAUACAGAGGGUGCAAGCGUUAAUCGGAAUUACUGGGCGUAAAGCGCUCGUAGGUGGUUUGUUAAGUUGGAUGUGAAAUCCCCGGGCUCAACCUGGGAACUGCAUCCAAAACUGGCAAGCUAGAGUAUGGUAGAGGGUGGUGGAAUUUCCUGUGUAGCGGUGAAAUGCGUAGAUAUAGGAAGGAACACCAGUGGCGAAGGCGACCACCUGGACUGAUACUGACAC